rnacentral:rRNA from 1 species
AUGGGUAUUGGUGUCGUCGUUCGAAAUCACAGUGGGGACCUACUUGUUGCUUGCAACAAAGUGUUUCCUGGUAUUCCUGAACCAGAGCUUGCUGAGGCUCUUGCCAUUCGGCACGCCUUGAACAUCUGCCAAGCUGAAGGCUUCAUGCAUAUCAGUCUAGUGUCAGAUUGCCUCUCUAUGGUGAACAAGAUCAGGUCUCCUGGCCAAGAUCGUUCGAGUGUGGGCGCCGUUGUCUCCGACAUCAAGUCUCUGGUUAGUUUUACCCACUGUACUUUCUCACAUGUCAAGCGUGGACUGAAUGUAGCGGCACAUAAACUAGCACGGAGCUGUGAGCUAGCUGUAAACUGCUUUUACCGUGGUGUGGCUCCGGAUUGCAUCCGGGACGAACUGUAUUCUGAUGUUCCUUAA